rnacentral:lncRNA from 1 species
CUGCCCGGCCGGCCGGGACCCCCCGGCUCCCCGGGGCUGCCGGGGCAGAUCGGCAGAGAGGGGCGGCAGGGAGUGCCGGGCAUGCGGGGUAGGUGCCGCCCGCGGUGUCCUCGGUGUCCCCGGGCACCGGGGUGUCCCCAAAAACUGGGGGGUCCCCAAACACCCCCCGUGCCGGGGUCUCACCCUCCUCCCCUCUCCCCCAGGAGAACCGGGCGCCAAAGGAGAGAAAGGGGAGAAAGGCGUGGGGAUGAUGGGGGACAGCGGCCCCCCAGGCCCCCCAGGCCCCCAGGGACCACCGGGCUACGGGAAGAUGGGCCCGCCGGGCCCCGUGGGCCAGCAGGGCAUCCCCGGUAUCCCCGGCCCCCCGGGGGCCACGGGACCACCGGGCAAAACCGGGCACUGCAGCCCCGCCGAGUGCCUGGGCGCCCUGCCCGUGGAGCAGCCCCUCUUCCAACCCAAAAACGCCAAGGGUCCCUUCGGCUGAGCCGGCGCCGGGCGCUGCCCGCUGCCGGAUUUAUUCUUGCCCCCGUUUUCCAGGGGGCUGCGGCGCUCCCGGGGGGCUCGGGGGGGGCUCAGGGGGUGCGGGGGGGUGGCCGUGGGGCGGGUGGAUCCUGCCCGGAUGAAAUACAGCCGAGUGCUGCCCCACGCGUGGAUCCUCUCGUGGUGUGUCCGCUGUGUCCCCGUGUCCCCAUCCAUGUCCCUGUCCCCAUUCCGGUCCCCGUCCCUGUGCACGGGGCUGAGGCCAGAGCCCUGCUCCCAUCCUGAUGGUGGUGCUGGUGGUGGUGAUGGUGAUGAUGGUGGUGAUGGUGGUGAUGGUGAUGAUGGUGAUGAUGGUGGUGAUGGUGAUGAUGGUGAUGAUGGUGGUGCUGGGGGUGCUGGGGGUGGUGGUGAUAAUGGUGGUGGUGGUGAUGGGGAUGAUGAUGGGGGUGAUGGGGGUGAUGGCAGUGAUGGCAGUGAUGGGGAUGGUGGUGAUGAUGAUGAUGGUGAUGAUGGUGAUGACGAUGAUGAUGGUGAUGGUGAUGAUGGUGAUGACGAUGGGGGUGGUGGUGGUGUUGGGGAUGUCAGUGAUGGCGAUGAUGAUGGGGAUGGUGGUGACGAUGACGAUGUCAAUGAUGGAGAUGGUGAUGAUGCUGGUGGGGGGGGGCUGGUGAUGAUGGGGAUGAUGGUAGUGGUGAUGAUGAUGAUGGGGAUGAUGGUGAUGAUGAUGGUGGUGGUGACAGUGGUGGGGGGAUGGUGAUGGUGGGGAUGAUGGUGGUGAUGAUGAUGAUGGCCAUGAUGGGGAUGGUGGUGGGGAUGAGGGUGAGAAGGGUGAUGAUGAUGAUGGGGGGAAGGGGCUGUUGAUCUGAGUGGUGGUGGUGAUGAUGGUGAUGAUGAUGGGGAUGUCAAUGAUAUCGAUGAUGAUGAUGAUGAUGAUGGUGGCGAUGAUGAUGAGGAUGAUGAUGGUGGUGGUGGUGAUGGGGAUGUCAAUGAUGAUGAUGAUGAAGAUCCUGGGCCUGACGUGGAGGUACGGUGGGGACCCUGGGCUGCUGUAGGCCCUGGGAGGACCCCGACCCCGACCCCGACCCCGACCCCGA